GGGAUUUUAUUCGUUGGGCAUUUGAUUCCUCUGCUUCCUUUUGGUCUUUUCUGCUGCGUUGUUUGUUUCUUUGACCUCUGUCUCCAUCAAGUCUUUCUUCUCUUUUUGUUUCUUUAUUUCAUCUAUCUAAAGCUCCGUCUCAGUGAUGAAUGAAUUGAGGGAUGGAAGACCAGAAUUGAUUUCAUUCAUUAUCUACUGUCAUUGCUAAACAAGUAUUUCUUUCAGUGGGUCAUCACUAUUGUUUCUACUUCUGUGAACUUUGAAUAGGUGAAUACUUUUUAUUAGUCUGCUUUUACUAUUGGUUUAGGAUGUGCACUUCUGUUGUACUGUAAGAGUGCUCGAUUUCACUCCUAAUCACCAGUGGUUUGGUGCCUCCUCUAUACACUAGAAAUCAUCUAAGCCACAUUCUACUUUCAUACUACACGAGUCAUGCAUGUGUAGCCAACCUAAUUGCUCUAAUGACUAAUGAGGUAGUUUAUCUCAAGCCUAUUUAGAAAUCCUUCCAAAGACUCUUCUGCUAUUGAUGUGCUUCCCCGUGAGUAUUCCAAGUAAUCAAUUAAAUCUUAUAGCAAUGGAUGGAACCGACGAGGCUGGAGUUAUGGUGCUCCUUGGCGCACGAUCCUGCGGAGCGUGCGACUAUUUUGCUCUGAUUGUUGCCAGACAAUGCGAGCCACCCGUGCCAUCAUCGCUCGUCUCAAUUUUGCGAGAUCAACAACCGCUGCUCAGCCUGCCGCCACAUACAGCAAGCAGCUCAUGAAGAAACACUACCACUGCGAGUCACCAAGUAUCAGGUCAGAAAAUGCAGGCCCGAGCUACUCUGAUUUCCAUAUGUGGCUAUCUCUGUCAUUCACCGUGGCAAAGCGAAACUGUGAUGUCAAUCCUAUGAAUACGUUGAACCAAGGUGAGCCAUUAUCGAUUCGCUGCUGAAGGUGUUUUCCUUUAUUUUGUUUCAUGUGGUUUAUCUUUUAUACUCUGAAAUUAUUUAGUUCUUGCAUUGAAUCGUAGUUUGUUUAUUGGCCUAUUAUAUCGAGUUGUAUGCAUAGAGAUGGAAGGGGGUGCGAGAAGCUAUGCUAAUUUUGCAGUGGUAGGCUGUGUCUUUCGAUUGUCUUUUAACAGUAAGUAUCAUUCUUUUAUUCCUGUGGCCUAAUCAGUGAGCUGUGACGAACAUUUUUUCUUUGUAUUCAAACUAGCUUGAACGAUCAAAAAGGGUAUUGGUCCAUGUUAGCCUUUUAGCAUUGUGUAUUAACAUUGGCUGGGCCAUCUUUCCAAGUUGUAAAACUACACUUAGAUGCUUAACCUUCGCCAUGUGCCUCUAUAGCUGCUUCCGGUGGUAUUAUCUGAGAUGGCCGUGGAGAUCAAAGGAUCUAUGUACAACCUUGGUUCAAGGUCUGCCUUAUGUGCUGAAUUAUGGCAAGGACUAAAACAGGUUUGGGAGCUAGCCUACCAAGAAAAGAGGUGUUUCAACAGCCUUUAAUACUUGAUUUUGGUUCGAUUGCAGCAAUGCAAGGAACAAAUUGCUUUGCACCUUUCUUCCAUUCUUUGUAUUUCUUACAUAGAGAAGGAAAAGGCAGCUAUUAUCAACUUCUUUCUCUGUGGGUUAACUUCCGUGCUAGCCUUAUGCAUUUUCCCAUGCCGCAUAAAUAUUUUGAGGUAGUACUAAUUUUAAAUCUUGCAUCUUCCAGGGAUAGUUCAUGUCAAAUAUUAAUUCGAAUUUACGUUUUCAUUUACAGCUUCACUGUACUAUUGUUUCUGGAGCAUGUAACUUUCCAUGUAUUAAGUGGGAUUGCUCGAUGUUGAGUCCGCCUUCUGAGCGGCGAGACAAAAGACGGGGGGUCGUGCGCCAACAAAAAUCCAUAUUGCAACUUUACAUAUUCCUAUGGACUUUCUGGUGCAAAUAAGGAUAGAGCUCUACUAUAUAUAUUCUGAACAAGAUCCAUAUUACAAUUGUACAAUCAUUCAUAGAAAAUUGAUUACUUAGUCUCAACUAAAAUUAUUUGUUGAAGUUGAUUUUCUAUCCUUGGAUAAUGGAUUCAUAUUGUGUGAGAUGUACUUUUUAAUGUCUAUGGAAACUGCUUACUAUUCACCUUUAAUUGACCUACUCCUAAAUAUUACCGAUUUGUAUAAUGCUAACAUAGUGUUUUUCUCAACUUAUUAUGAAGUUUAUUACAAAAUGAUCACCGGUGCGAAAUACCGGGGUCGCGCGCCAAGGCGCGCAUCAAAAUCUAGUU